rnacentral:rRNA from 1 species
UACGUAGGGGGCAAGCGUUGUCCGGAUUUAUUGGGCGUAAAGAGCGUGUAGGCGGCCUGAAAGGUCAGCUGUGAAAACUCGAGGCUCAACCUCGAGACGUCGGUUGAAACCAUCUGGCUAGGGUCCGGAAGAGGAGUGUGGAAUUCCCGGUGUAGCGGUGAAAUGCGCAGAUAUCGGGAGGAACACCUGCGGUGUAGACGGCUUUCUGGACCAUUGUUGACGCUGAGACACGAAAGCGUGGGUAGCAAACAGG